GUGAGGAAACACACCCAGUGAGGCCAAUUUCUCAAAAUCACAAAGUUAACAAGUAACAGAGCCAGGGAGGAAGGGGCCCCUGAGGGUGAAGGAAAGAACAGCAAGGGUAACGCGUAUACACAUGCAGAGAGAGAGAGAGCGCACGUGCGAAUGGUGCAUCUGGAUAAAAG